rnacentral:rRNA from 1 species
UGGGGAAUAUUGGACAAUGGGGGAAACCCUGAUCCAGCAAUGCCGCGUGAGUGAUGAAGGCCCUAGGGUUGUAAAGCUCUUUUACCCGGGAAGAUAAUGACUGUACCGGGAGAAUAAGCCCCGGCUAACUCCGUGCCAGCAGCCGCGGUAAUACGGAGGGGGCUAGCGUUGUUCGGAAUUACUGGUCGUAAAGCGCACGUAGGCGGCUUUGUAAGUCAGAGGUGAAAGCCUGGAGCCACUCCAGAACUGCCUUUGAGACUGCAUCGCUUGAAUCCAGGAGAGGUCAGUGGAAUUCCGAGUGUAGAGGUGAAAUUCGUAGAUAUUCGGAAGAACACCAGUGGCGAAGGCGGCUGACUGGACUGGUAUUGACGCUGAGGUGCGAAGCGUGGGGAGCAAACA